CAGGGAUGUUUGGUUUGAGGUCAUUCCCCAGGAAUCUUUGGUUUGAGGUCAUUACCCAGGGAUGUUUGGUUUGAGGUCAUUCCCCAGGAAUCUUUGGUUUGAGGUCAUUACCCAGGGAUGUUUGGUUUGAGGUCAUUACCCAGGGAUCUUU